rnacentral:rRNA from 1 species
UACACACGUGCUACAAUGGCCGGUACAAAGAGUUGCGAUACCGCGAGGUGGAGCUAAUCUCAUAAAGCCGGUCUCAGUUCGGAUUGGAGUCUGCAACUCGACUCCAUGAAGUUGGAAUCGCUAGUAAUCGCGGAUCAGCACGCCGCGGUGAAUACCGUUCCCGGGCCUU